rnacentral:rRNA from 1 species
GGGAACGUACCUUUUGGUUCGGAACAACACAGGGAAACUUGUGCUAAUACCGGAUAAGCCCUUACGGGGAAAGAUUUAUCGCCGAAAGAUCGGCCCGCGUCUGAUUAGCUAGUUGGUAGGGUAACGGCCUACCAAGGCGACGAUCAGUAGCUGGUCCGAGAGGAUGAUCAGCCACAUUGGGACUGAGACACGGCCCAAACUCCUACGGGAGGCAGCAGUGGGGAAUAUUGGACAAUGGGGGCAACCCUGAUCCAGCCAUGCCGCGUGAGUGAUGAAGGCCCUAGGGUUGUAAAGCUCUUUUGUGCGGGAAGAUAAUGACGGUACCGCAAGAAUAAGCCCCGGCUAACUUCGUGCCAGCAGCCGCGGUAAUACGAAGGGGGCUAGCGUUGCUCGGAAUCACUGGGCGUAAAGGGUGCGUAGGCGGGUCUUUAAGUCAGGGGUGAAAUCCUGGAGCUCAACUCCAGAACUGCCUUUGAUACUGAAGAUCUUGAGUUCGGGAGAGGUGAGUGGAACUGCGAGU